ACCUGGUUGAUCCUGCCAGUAGUCAUAUGCUUGUCUCGAAGACUAAGCCAUGCAUGUCAAGUAUACAUGAUAUACAGUAAAACUGCGAAUGGCUCAUUAAAACAGUUAUAGUUUAUUUGAUAGAUGUCUUAUAUGGAUACCCGUAGUAAUUCUAGAGCUAAUACAUGCGUGAAGGCCUAACUGCAAGGGAGGGCUGUAUUUAUUAGAUAAAAACCAACACUACAAGGUGAAUCACAAUAACUGAUCGAAUCGCUUAGACUUUGUCUGCGAUAAAUCAUUCAAGUUUCUGCCCUAUCAGCUUUCGAUGGUAGUGUAUUGGACUACCAUGGCAAUGACGGGUAACGGAGAAUUAGGGUUCGAUUCCGGAGAGUUAGGCUGAAAAAUAGCUAACACAUCUAAGGAAGGCAGCAGGCGCGUAAAUUACCCAAUCCUGAUUCAGGGAGGUAGUGAAAAGAAAUAACAACGUAGGGCCCUUGUGGUCUUGCGAUUGCAAUGGGUACAAUUUAAAUCCCUUAACGAGUAACAAUUGGAGGGCAAGUCUGGUGCCAGCAGCCGCGGUAAUUCCAGCUCCAAUAGCGUAUAUUAAAGUUGUUGCAGUUAAAAAGCUCGUAGUUGAACUUCUGGAGGGAUGUGUUGCUCGUCCUCGCGGAUGGACAACACGUUCCCUUCAUCCUUCCGUUAACGAUUCAUGGCAUUCAUUUGUUGGUUUCGGGCUCGGAUAUUUUACUUUGAGAAAAUUAGAGUGUUUCAGGCAGGCUUGGUCAGAAUACAUUAGCAUGGAAUAAUAGAAUAGGACUUUGGCUCUAUUUGUUGGUUUAGAGUGCGAAGUAAUGAUUAAUAGGGACAGUUGGGGGCAUUCGUACUUAAUUGUCAGAGGUGAAANUCUUGGAUUUAUUAAAGACGAACUUAUGCGAAAGCAUUUGCCAAAGAUGUUUUCAUUAAUCAA
rnacentral:rRNA from 1 species